GGGGAUUUAGCUCAGCGGCAUAAGCGCCUGCCUUGCAAGCAGGCAGUCGUGAGUUCGAUUCCUAGUACCGA
rnacentral:tRNA from 1 species